rnacentral:rRNA from 1 species
AGAGUUUGAUCCUGGCUCAGGAUGAACGCUAGCGGGAGGCUUAACACAUGCAAGCCGAGGGGUAUUGAGUUGCUUGCAGCUCGAGAGACCGGCGUACGGGUGAGUAACGCGUAUGUAACUUGCCUCAUUCAACGGGAUAGCCCGGGGAAACCCGGAUUAAUAUCGUAUAACAGCCGGACAGGCAUCUGUUUGGUUUGAAAGAUUUAUCGGAAUGAGAUAGACAUGCGUCAGAUUAGUUAGUUGGCGGGGUAACGGCCCACCAAGGCGAUGAUCUGUAGGGGUACUGAGAGGUAGAUCCCCCACACUGGUACUGAGACACGGACCAGACUCCUACGGGAGGCAGCAGUGAGGAAUAUUGGACAAUGGGUGAGAGCCUGAUCCAGCCAUCCCGCGUGCAGGAAGACGGCCUUAUGGGUUGUAAACUGCUUUUAUACAGGAAUAAACCACCUUUCGUGAAGGGUGUUGAAGGUACUGUAUGAAUAAGCACCGGCUAACUCCGUGCCAGCAGCCGCGGUAAUACGGAGGGUGCAAGCGUUAUCCGGAUUUAUUGGGUUUAAAGGGUCCGCAGGCGGACUAGUAAGUCAGGGGUGAAAUCCGGCAGCUUAACUGUCGAACUGCCUUUGAUACUGCAAGUCUUGAGUGGGAAUGAAGCAGCUGGAAUGUGUGGUGUAGCGGUGAAAUGCAUAGAUAUCACACAGAACACCGAUAGCGAAGGCAGGUUGCUAAUUCUCAACUGACGCUGAGGGACGAAAGCGUGGGGAGCGAACUGCAUUAGAUACCCUGGUAGUCCACGCCGUAAACGAUGGAUACUGUCUGUUGGGUAGUAAUAUUCAGUGGAUAAGCGAAAGUGAUAAGUAUCCCACCUGGGGAGUACGUUCGCAAGAAU